rnacentral:rRNA from 1 species
CCUACGGGUGGCAGCAGUGAGGAAUAUUGGUCAAUGGGCGAGAGCCUGAACCAGCCAAGUCGCGUGAGGGAGUACUGCCCUAUGGGUUGUAAACCUCUUUUGUCGGGGAGCAAAAGCCGGACGUGUCCGGCUGUGAGAGUACCCGAAGAAAAAGCAUCGGCUACCUCCGUGCCAGCAGCCGCGGUAAUACGGAGGAUGCGAGCGUUAUCCGGAGUUAUUGGGUUAAAGGGGGGCGCAGGCGGAUUUUUAAGUCAGCGGUAAAAUCGUGGGGCUCAACCCCAUCCAGCCGGUGAAACUGGGGAUCUAGAGUGUGCGAGAGGUAUGCGGAAUGCGUGGUGUAGCGGUGAAAUGCAUAGAUAUCACGCAGAACCCCGAUUGCGAAGGCAGCAUACCGGUGCACAACUGACGCUCAGGCACGAAAGCGUGGGUAUCGAACAGGAGUAGAUACCCUAGUAGUC